AUAGCUCAGCUGGGAGAGCACCUGCCUUACAAGCAGGGGGUCACAGGUUCGAGCCCUGUU
rnacentral:tRNA from 1 species